GCUUACGGCCAUACCACCCUGAGAACGCCCGAUCUCGUCCGAUCUCGGAAGCUAAGCAGGGUCGGGCCUGGUUAGCACUUGGAUGGGAGACCGCCUGGGAAUACCAGGUGCUGUAAGCU
rnacentral:rRNA from 1 species